UUAAAACUAUUUUUACUUCAUAAGAUAGUCUUUAUAAUUAGUUUCAGUUAAGGAUUUUGUGUCGAGAAUACGAAAGAGAUAAUUGGAAGCAGACAUUUGCUUUGCAGAGAGUAAAAAUUCAAGUUAGAUAUUUGUAGUUGUUUUGAAAAUUUGUUUUAGGGAUUUUAAAAAAUAAAUUUAGCCUCAUACUAUUUUCUUGAGUCUCUUACACUCCUCGGUUAG
rnacentral:lncRNA from 1 species